CCCUUAGAUGUUCUGGGCCGCACGCGCGCUACACUGAUGCAUUCAACGAGUCUAAAACCUGCUCUGAUAGGGGUGGGUAAUCUUUUGAAUGUGCAUCGUGAUUGGGAUAGAUGAUUGCAAUUUUUCAUCUUCAACGAGGAAUGCCUAGUAAACGCAAGUCAUCAGCUUGCAUUGAUUACGUCCCUGCCCUUUGUACACACCGCCCGUCGCUCCUACCGAUUGAAUGAUCCGAUGAAUAUCAUGGAUUGAGGAUGCAAGUAGGUUAGCCUAUCUUCAUCUUCGAGAAGUGAAGUAAAUCGUAUCAUUUAGAGGAAGGAGAAGUCGUAACA
rnacentral:rRNA from 1 species